UUUUGCACUUCUCUAGAGUCCUGCGCAAUUAUUUUCAUCACAGUAUCUUUUGAUCACAGUGAUUUUUCAUCACACUUCCAACCGUAACCAUGGAAAAGUUGUUUUUGUUUGUAGCUGGUUUGUUUAUUAAAAUCAGAAAAGUUUUAUUCGAUUCAGAUAUUUUGGACGGAUAAAGGGACCUGUUUCAUCGUUUCGUGAAGUCCUAUUUAAGGGUGGUGACACAAAUUUCACCAAACACUGCCCAGAUUACAUCGUUCCAUUGAAAAAUGAAACUGGAUUUGCCCCUUUUUUGUUAAGAUCAAGAACCUCUGCUAAACAUUAUGCUACGGUUAAUGCGAGAAUGGUCACGGUUCUAAGCAGAUUUUUGUAGUUUACUAUAAAUAAUAAAACAAUGUCCCUCCA